rnacentral:lncRNA from 10 species
GGAAAUCCAAAUGGCUAAUAAACAUAUGGAAGGUUGUGCAAUCUCAUUGUUAAUCAAGGAAGUACAAAUUAUAAUGAUGAUGAAACCCUACCUCCCAAGUGAUUCCAUAAGUGUUGGUGAGAAUGUGGAGAAAAGGAAGUUCUAUACAUAACUAACGGAGAUAUAAAUUUUCAAAGCCAUACGUCAAUACAUAAUAAACUGAAAUUAUGCAUAUCUACAGCUCAGAACUUACAUUGGCAUAUUGGCAAAAACUCUCUCAUUUGGGCACCAGAAAGUAUGUUUGAAGAUACUGCUUCAUUUCUUGUAAUACCAUCUUUAAGAACUGUAACACUCACUGCGAGGUCCGUGCUUCAUUCUUCAAGUCAGCAAGACGAAGAACCCAUCAAUUCUGGACACAGUCUAACUCAGUGAUGCCAACCUUUUUGACAGCAGGGACUGGUUUCCUGAAAGACAAUUUUUCCACAGAUCCAGUGGUGGAUCAAGGGAGAUGAUUUUGGUAUGAAACUGUUUC